rnacentral:rRNA from 1 species
GAUUCAGCGGCGGACGGGUGAGUAAUGCCUAGGAAUCUGCCUGGUAGUGGGGGAUAACGUCCGGAAACGGGCGCUAAUACCGCAUACGUCCUGAGGGAGAAAGUGGGGGAUCUUCGGACCUCACGCUAUCAGAUGAGCCUAGGUCGGAUUAGCUAGUUGGUGGGGUAAAGGCCUACCAAGGCGACGAUCCGUAACUGGUCUGAGAGGAUGAUCAGUCACACUGGAACUGAGACACGGUCCAGACUCCUACGGGAGGCAGCAGUGGGGAAUAUUGGACAAUGGGCGAAAGCCUGAUCCAGCCAUGCCGCGUGUGUGAAGAAGGUCUUCGGAUUGUAAAGCACUUUAAGUUGGGAGGAAGGGCAGUAAGUUAAUACCUUGCUGUUUUGACGUUACCAACAGAAUAAGCACCGGCUAACUUCGUGCCAGCAGCCGCGGUAAUACGAAGGGUGCAAGCGUUAAUCGGAAUUACUGGGCGUAAAGCGCGCGUAGGUGGUUCAGCAAGUUGGAUGUGAAAUCCCCGGGCUCAACCUGGGAACUGCAUCCAAAACUACUGAGCUAGAGUACGGUAGAGGGUGGUGGAAUUUCCUGUGUAGCGGUGAAAUGCGUAGAUAUAGGAAGGAACACCAGUGGCGAAGGCGACCACCUGGACUGAUACUGACACUGAGGUGCGAAAGCGU